rnacentral:misc_RNA from 1 species
GAUGAAGAACGCAGCGAAAUGCGAUAAGUAGUGUGAAUUGCAGAAUUUAGUGAAUCAUCGAAUCUUUGAACGCACAUUGCGCCCUAUAGUAUUCUGUAGGGCAUGCCUGUUCGAGCGUUAUUGAGACCUCAAGCUCUGCUUGGAAAUGGGCGCUUGUCUUGCCUUGCAGACUCGCCUUAAAACCAUUGGCAGCUGAUUUACAAUGUUUGGUGCACAGUACAUGAGCCCAAGUGUUGCAAUGAGUGGCCCAAAAGUAUACAAUAGAAGCUUAACCUCGGAUCAGGUAGGGAUACCCGCUGAACUUAAGCAUAUCAAUAAGCGGA